rnacentral:rRNA from 1 species
UACGGAGGGGGCGAGCGUUAUUCGGAAUUAUUGGGCGUAAAGGGCGCGUAGGCGGCUUGAUGUGUCAAAGGUGAAAUCCCUCGGCUCAACUGAGGAACUGCCUUUGAAACUGUCUGGCUUGAGGCCGGGAGAGGGUAGCGGAAUUCCCAGUGUAGCGGUGAAAUGCGUAGAUACUGGGAGGAACACCGGUGGCGAAGGCGGCUACCUGGACCGGUAUUGACGCUGAGGCGCGAAAGCCAGGGGAGCAAACGGG